rnacentral:rRNA from 1 species
CCUACGGGAGGCAGCAGUGGGGAAUAUUGCACAAUGGGGGAAACCCUGAUGCAGCGACGCCGCGGGAGUGAAGAAGGAUUUCGGUAUGUAAAGCUCUAGCAGCAGGGAAGAAAAUGACGGUACCUGAUUAAGAAGCCCCGGCUAACGACGUGCCAGCAGCCGCGGUAAUACGUAGGGGGCAAGCGUUAUCCGGAUUUACUGGGUGUAAAGGGAGCGUAGACGGCAGCACAAGUCUGGAGUGAAAUGCCGGGGCUUAACCCCGGAACUGCUUUGGAAACUGUGCAGCUAGAGUGCAGGAGAGGUCAGUGGACUUCCUCGUGUAGCGGUGCACUGCGUUGAUAUUAGGUGGCACCCCAGUGGCGACGGCGGCUUACUGGACUGUAACUGCCGUUGCGGCUC